rnacentral:rRNA from 1 species
GAUGAACGCUGGCGGCGUGCUUAACACAUGCAAGUCGAACGAUGACCCGGUGCUUGCACCGGUGAUUAGUGGCGAACGGGUGAGUAACACGUGAGUAACCUGCCCUUAACUCUGGGAUAAGCCUGGGAAACCGGGUCUAAUACCGGAUAUGACCUCCUGCCGCAUGGUGGGGGGUGGAAAGUCUUUUUUGUUGGUUUGGUAGUGGACUCGCGGCCUAUCAGCUUGUUGGUGAGGUAAUGGCUCACCAAGGCGACGACGGGUAGCCGGCCUGAGAGGGUGACCGGCCACACUGGGACUGAGACACGGCCCAGACUCCUACGGGAGGCAGCAGGUGGGGAAUAUUGCACAAUGGGCGCAAGCCUGAUGCAGCGACGCCGCGUGAGGGAUGACGGCC